UACAGAGGUGGCAAGCGUUGUUCGGAAUUACUGGGCGUAAAGGGCGCGUAGGCGGUUCGUCAAGUCCUGUGUGAAAUCCCCCGGCUCAACUGGGGAACUGCACAGGAAACUAGCGGGCUUGAGUUCAGGAGAGGGAAGCGGAAUUCCGGGUGUAGCGGUGAAAUGCGUAGAUAUCGGGAGGAACACCUGUGGCGAAAGCGGCGCACUGGACCACAACUGACGCUGAGGCGCGAAAGCUAGGGGAGCAAACAGG
rnacentral:rRNA from 1 species